rnacentral:tRNA from 1 species
GUUAAGAUGGCAGAGCCCGGUAAUUGCAUNAANCUUAAAACUUUACUACCAGAGGUUCAACUCCUCUUCUUAAC